CUGGGUUGGUAGGCUUUUAUUUUGAUAUUACAAACCAUUUUUCUUUAUUCACAAACCACGGUCGUGAUAUAAACACUAAUUUCUAAAGACAGAUAUACACAUUUUCUGGGUUUGUAGGUUUCUUUUUUUUAAAUCUGUUUAGAAUUCACUAUAUUCCAUAUAUGGUAGUAAUAAUUUUUUCAUAAGUCAUAUUAUCAGUAAUUAUUUAUAUAAGUGAAAACAUUCCCAAUAUAUAUUGUAAAAAAAAUUCAAAUGCUUUUCUUACAUAACUAUUUAAGACAUACAUUUUAAAAUGACUGCUAGGAAUACUGUAGGAGCUUUAUAAACAAAAUAUUUUCUACUAUGGGCCGCACCGUCAAGCUUUCAAGAUUAUUUGUAAUAGAUUAAAAUGCCAUAUAAGCAUUUGGGGGGUGGGAGUUGUAAAGUCAUUUCAUGAAAAUUAAAACUGCAAAUAAAGUCUGCUAUUCCC